rnacentral:misc_RNA from 1 species
CGGACUACUGGGGUAUCUAAUCCUGUUCGCUCCCCAUGCUUUCGCUUCUCAGCGUCAGUUACAGCCCAGAGACCUGCCUUCGCCAUCGGUGUUCCUCCUGAUAUCUGUGCAUUCCACCGCUACACCAGGAAUUCCAGUCUCCCCUACUGCACUCUAGUUAGCCCGUACCCACUGCAAAACCGGAGUUAAGCCCCGGCCUUUCACAGCAGACGCGACCAACCGCCUACAAGCUCUUUACGCCCAAUAAUUCCGGACAACGCUCGCGCCCUACGUAUUACCGCGGCUGCUGGCAC